CAUUUGCGUGUUCUUUUAAUCCAGAUUUGAAGAUUGCUUCAUGGGAGUUCUGUGCUAGGCGCCAUGAGGAGCUUAUACCUCGAAGAAUGAUGAUUCCACAGUUGGGCCAACUUGGGGCUGCUGUUCAGAAAUACCACUCUGCCCUCGUGAAUACACCUU